AUACAUGCAAGUCGAGCGGACAGAAGGGAGCUUGCUCCCGGAUGUUAGCGGCGGACGGGUGAGUAACACGUGGGUAACCUGCCUGUAAGACUGGGAUAACUCCGGGAAACCGGAGCUAAUACCGGAUAGUUCCUUGAACCGCAUGGUUCAAGGAUGAAAGACGGUUUCGGCUGUCACUUACAGAUGGACCCGCGGCGCAUUAGCUAGUUGGUGGGGUAAUGGCUCACCAAGGCGACGAUGCGUAGCCGACCUGAGAGGGUGAUCGGCCACACUGGGACUGAGACACGGCCCAGACUCCUACGGGAGGCAGCAGUAGGGAAUCUUCCGCAAUGGACGAAAGUCUGACGGAGCAACGCCGCGUGAGUGAUGAAGGUUUUCGGAUCGUAAAGCUCUGUUGUUAGGGAAGAACAAGUGCGAGAGUAACUGCUCGCACCUUGACGGUACCUAACCAGAAAGCCACGGCUAACUACGUGCCAGCAGCCGCGGUAAUACGUAGGUGGCAAGCGUUGUCCGGAAUUAUUGGGCGUAAAGGGCUCGCAGGCGGUUUCUUAAGUCUGAUGUGAAAGCCCCCGGCUCAACCGGGGAGGGUCAUUGGAAACUGGGAAACUUGAGUGCAGAAGAGGAGAGUGGAAUUCCACGUGUAGCGGUGAAAUGCGUAGAGAUGUGGAGGAACACCAGUGGCGAAGGCGACUCUCUGGUCUGUAACUGACGCUGAGGAGCGAAAGCGUGGGGAGCGAACAGGAUUAGAUACCCUGGUAGUCCACGCCGUAAACGAUGAGUGCUAAGUGUUAGGGGGUUUCCGCCCCUUAGUGCUGCAGCUAACGCAUUAAGCACUCCGCCUGGGGAGUACGGUCGCAAGACUGAAACUCAAAGGAAUUGACGGGGGCCCGCACAAGCGGUGGAGCAUGUGGUUUAAUUCGAAGCAACGCGAAGAACCUUACCAGGUCUUGACAUCCUCUGACAACCCUAGAGAUAGGGCUUUCCCUUCGGGGACAGAGUGACAGGUGGUGCAUGGUUGUCGUCAGCUCGUGUCGUGAGAUGUUGGGUUAAGUCCCGCAACGAGCGCAACCCUUGAUCUUAGUUGCCAGCAUUUAGUUGGGCCUCUAAGGUGACUGCCGGUGACAACCGGAGGAAGGUGGGGAUGACGUCAAUCAUCAUGCCCUUAUGACUGGGCUACCGUGCUACAUGGA
rnacentral:rRNA from 1 species